rnacentral:rRNA from 1 species
AUUGAACGCUGGCGGCAUGCCUUACACAUGCAAGUCGAACGGUAGAGUAGCAAUACUUGAGAGUGGCGAACGGGUGAGUAAUAUAUCGGAACGUGCCCAGUCGUGGGGGAUAACGUAGAGAAAUUUACGCUAAUACCGCAUACGAUCUAAGGAUGAAAGCGGGGGAUUCGCAAGAACCUCGCGCGAUUGGAGCGGCUGAUAUCAGAUUAGGUUGUUGGUGAGGUAAAAGCUCACCAAGCCGACGAUCUGUAGCUGGUUUGAGAGGACGACCAGCCACACUGGGACUGAGACACGGCCCAGACUCCUACGGGAGGCAGCAGUGGGGAAUUUUGGGACAAUGGGCGCAAGCCUGAUCCAGCAAUGCCGCGUGCAGGAUGAAGGCC